UUCAAGCAGUUUAUGAGGCAAAGUGAAGACUAGGCUGAUAUGUUGCACAGCUGAUGGCUUAUUUCAGCACCUACAGCAUAACAGAUCCAGCAUACAGCCAGGACAUGGAGCAGCCAAUGUCACAGUUGCAGUCAUUGCUUCUGGCAGCACUGCUAUCUCUACAGUGGGAGACACCCAUGGAUGUUGAUCUCGUGCUGCCACCAACAUCAGUCAUGCUGGCAGCCCAUGACACAGCUAUAUCAGGUUCUUACCCAGUAACUCAGUUGGAUGCCCUGGAGGACCCAUAUAUCACCUCUAAUGGCCUGUCAUCUUGUCUGCACCUACUUCCGCAAUUGCAUUGGUGGUCCCCCCUGCUGUCAUGUCUCAUCUUCAUAUCUAAAGAUGGGACAUAUGUUUGGGAGGGGAGGGGGAAUGCGGCGCCAUCAACUACUGACAUUGGCACAAGAAUUAUUGACCACCACAGAGAUACUGCACACCAAAGUGGUAACACGAGGCAUUGAUGAGGAGCUAGGAAGAAGCAAUGCCUUUCGUAUUUCCAAGGCACCGCUGCUGUGCCUCUGUAUGGAAAUAGCAUCACCAGAAGCCAGAACUGCAAUUUUGUUUGUGGUCAGAUCUUGCCCACUUCUAGGAAGUUCCUGUCAGAGUAACGCUGUUGUGCUGCCUAGUUGUCAUGACAGAGCUUGUGUCAGCUGUCGAGGAGUGAAGAGACUUCCAACUCCCAUGAACUGUGCCUAUGUGCUAAUGCUAUCAGCAUUAUAUCAACAAGUGUCUAUGAACUUGUGUUUUCUAUUGACUGUAGUGAAACCACAGUAUGGCUGUUCUGAAUUGUAUGAAUUUGCCACUCAGCAAUCAUGGCUCAUUUAGUGUGUCCCGAACCGCAAGUGCAUGUGUGCAGUCUCAUAGUUACCCCUGAGCCUGUUGGCGAGAAGACCUCGUCUUCUAAGCUGUGUCCUGCUCUGAGAACUGCUUGUGCAAUGGUCAGAAAGGUACUCCCUGCCUUCCCAGUCUGCAUAAAGUUCUUCUUCCAGUCUUGGAAGAGUACUGACAGCGGUAAUCAUUGUAUCAUAUACAUUCUGAAGAGCUUCACUAAAUGCAUUAAAUGAUGGUUCAAACAUUAUAACUUUAUUUCUCUGCAGAACUUUUAUCACAAAACCAGGAUUUGUGUGCUGUAAAAACACAGAAAAUAGAAAGAAUAUUUUAUCAAAGAAUUAACAAUGACAAAGAGGAUAAAAAUUAUUAUAACCUAAAAGUAUACUGAUGAGAAAAAAUAUCACAAUGCCAAGAAGAAGUUGUGAGAUGUAAACAAAAGUUUGUUUGUGUUUCCAGAUCUGAAAUGUAAUAGCUAUUCAAAUUUCAUGCCAGUGGCAUAAGAGUGGCACUAGUAGCGCCAUUAUGAGGAUGAAAAUCAUGUUUCCUGGUUCGGCCAUGAGUGUUAAUUACCUGUGAGAUUGGACAUGAUGCAUUGAUGUUAUUAAAGAAUGCCUUUAUGGCAACAAAGAAACCAUUGUGAAUACCUCACUGAAUUUGAUCAAGGUCAUGUAACAGGGCUAUGAGAAACUGGAUGUUGUUACUGCAAUACUGCAGAAAGACUUGCCAGGAAUGUGUCCACUGCACCUGAUUGCUGACACCACUGGUUAUGAAAACAUAUGGUCACAAGAAGACUGGACUCUAGCAGGUCACGUUGCAGCACUGACAGGAAAGACCGUCAUUUUAGGUGUAUGGCUCUGAUGCAGAACACUGCAUUUGUAGCAACAAUUUGAGCUGCAGUUGGUACCACAGUGACACAAAAAACUGUUGCAAGUCACUUACUUCAAGAACAGCUCUGAGCCAGAUGCCCUCUAGUGCACAUUCCACUGACCCCCAACCACUGUCAUUUGUUACUUCAGUGGCAUCAAGCGAGAGCUCACUGGAGGACAGGGUGGACGUUUCAUGUACUUUCUGAUAAAAGCUGCUUCUGUCCCGGCACCAGUGGUGGCUCUGCAUUCAUUAGAACGUGGCCAGUUGAGCACCUGCAACUAACCUGCCUGCGAGCUGCACACACCGAACGUACACCUGGAGUUAUAGCCUGGGGUGUGAUUUCAUACGAAAGCAGGAGCACUCUCAUAGCUAUCCCACACAUCCUGACUGCAAAACCAUAUGUCAGUCUGAUGAUUUGAGCUGUUAUGCUGCCAUCCAUGAACAGCAUUCCAGGGGGUGUUUUCCCACUGGAUAAUGCUCACACACAUACUACUGUUGUAAUGCAACAUGCUCUACAGUGUAUUGGCAUGUUGCCUUAGCCUGCUCAAACACCGGAUCUGCCUCGAGUCGAGCACAUUUGGGACAUCAUCAGAUGACAACUCCAGCAUCAUCCACAAACAGCGUUAACUGUCCCUCUACUGGCCAGUCAAGUGCAACAGGCAUGGAACUCCAUCCCAUUAACUGACAUUUAGCACCUGUACAAUACAAUGCAUGCACAUUUGCAUUCAACAAUCUGAUACUUACACCAGUUAGUAUUCUACCAGCAUUUCAAAUUUUCAA